GGCUGACGCUCGCGGCGGAGGCGCCGGGGCCGCCGCUCGGGGGCGAGGGCUCGUGCUCCUCCCGCUUUACGGCUGCUGAAAACCCGGCCCGCGCCCGGCAGCCGUACCGCAGACGAGCUCGCGCCCGCGCCGCUCAGGAGUUGACAGUUGACAGUUGCCUGGACAACUAAAUGCCUGAUUUCCUUCUGUUGUCUUCUUCUCUCACUUGACUACUGCUGAAGAGUUGUUGUUGAAGUACAGAGCAGACCAUUUACUCUUCUUCCCCAAGUUCUCACAAUUAAUGAAUUUGAAUCUGACUGGAUCUCCUAAUAAGAAGUUUGUUCUUCUUUCCAUUGCUUCACUGUGUAGAUACUUCACUUCUAUUUGUUCAGAAACUCCUUGAAGCCCAGAAAUGUGAUUAAAUGAUAAUGCAACAAAUAAGGGCUGUAGAAACUCAAAGAAAGAUUGUCAAUAUGGCCAAUAGCAGUUUUUAAUGCUUUCAUGAAAUUAAGUUGAGCAUUUAAACAUUUAAGUAACAAAAACUAAACAAGAAUGCCAGUUAAUGCUGGCUGUGUGAUCCUUUUAGUAUCAUAUGAGAAGGCAUCUAUAAGGGUGAAUUGAUUAUUUAUUUGACUAACUUCUUUAGAGGUCAUUUUUAGAAUUUGAUUUGCUUUUUACUAACAAAAGAUGAAUGAUUCUUAUGUAAAUGCUAAAAUUUUAAACAGUGUUUUAAUGGACUGAGGCUAACAUUUUGUUCUGGAGGAAGUGGGCUCUACAAUUGGAAUGUAAUUAAUAGAAAACUAUGAUUUCAUUUAUAGAUCAUUACUUUUGUACAUACAUAAGCAUUCAUUCAGUGGGUACUUGAACAUAUCUACAGAAGAUUAAAUUGGGAGGUCAGAUUCACUUGCACAUUUGCUCUGUUUGGUCUUUAAAGCAUUUGAAAAAUAUUUGAAUUUGUGGCUCACAUUUAAAAAUCAAGAGGUUUUGUAUAUAAACCUGACUCUCUGGAGUUUUUUAAUAUAAGGAACCACCUGAUUUAACCUAGUCUGCCUUCCCUCAAUGGAACAAUUGGCUAGAGCAGCAACUGUCCAUUUUAAGAGUAGGCACUUCCCAGAUCAUUAUUUCCUACUCAUGUAUAUUGUGUUGUCUUACUGGCUCUCAUAGUUAUUUGGGACUGUGAUUCUUGAUGUCCUGUGUGUAUGAAACUCUGUGAGAUAUAUGAUGGAAACUUACAACAAUAAAAGUAGAAAAGAUAAAUAUGAUGUAAGGAAGUAAAAAAGAUAAUGUAAGUGAGAAAGGCUGAAACUUAUAUUCAGUAACACUGUUCUAACCAUCAUGGAAUACAAGAUUCCCAAAUAGUUAUGAUAAGCAGCCUUUUUCUUUUCCAUAUAAAUAUAGGAACCAUAUAAAUAUAGGAAACUGAUCAACAGUUGCACACGGCUUUACUUCUGCAUAAACUGUGCAAAGUCUGAACCUGAUGACUUAGAAAUUUUGGCGAGAGGACAAUAACAUGAGGAAUGGGAAAACAAAUGGUAUCAUUUAUUCCAAAAUACUGUAAAUGCUGUUUAUUGACUGAUAGGCUAGAGUUUUCCUUUCUCCCCCCACCUUUUUUUUUUUCACUCAACUAUCUAUCAGUGAUCAGUUAUUACCAUUGAAACCUUUCUUUGCUUAUAGUGGAUAUCAAAUAUUUGCCCUUAUAACACCUCUUCUCUCAUUUUCUGAGAAAGCUCUCUAAAACUCACACACAUACGGACACCUUACUUUAUCCACAAGGCCUUUCACAGGAGCUGCUACCUUUUUAUGACCACUGUCAAAAAUUCAUUAAAUCAGUGAAUCAAGGUGGGCCAGUUAGACUUUUUUUCCAGUAUUUUUUGAACAGAUGCAGGUAUAGAGGUGAGUGUUGUAGAAGAUUCAUUUUCUCUCUUGUCCUGAAGCUUAGAGGAUGGAAAUCGGGAAGCUGUUAGGGGCCAUUUCUCUGACAAGGUACAAAGUCAAUCUUCAGUAGGUAGCUACGAAGCCGACCCAUAGGAGAAAAAUAGCAACAUGGUAAAAAUACCUGUAUCUGUGAUCUUGGGAAGCCAGCCCUAUCAUUCCUUUUCCAUAGUUUGUUCACAUCAACCCAAACAAUUCUCUUUUGGUCUAAGUUAGACGGAGCAUAUGUCAUUUGCAACAAAGAUAGUUCUGAUUUAUAUAUCACUAUAUUUUUUCUAUUUUAAUAAUUUAAUCCAGUGAUUAUUUUUAAAUCCCAUAAUUUCAAAGAAUAUGCUAAGUAUUUUGGAAUUCUGACAAGAGUAUUUUACAUGCUUUGUUUUCAUAGAACUUGAAGUCUAGAAUGGGAGAUAGGUAAAUCCACAAAGUUAGAAUAACAAUGUUUUUUGAGCUAUAGAAGAAAAAAUGUAAUUAAAAGAGGAAGCAGUUAUUAUGUUGAGGGAAUUGGGAUAGUUUUUCUGGAAGAGCUGGCAUUUGAAUGGAUUAGAUUUCAGUGGGUAGAUAUGGGGAAGGCAUUCCAUGCCUAGAGAAAAUAAAUAAAUAAAUGGAUUAAGUUUGGAAGCCUGGAGUACUUUUUAACAAUAGUAAGUGGUACAGUUUAGCUGUUGUCUGUUAAGAUGUCUAGUUUGGAAUGGGAAGUCAUGGCUAUAUUGUAGAGGUCUGGAAUAUGAAGGUCAAUUAACUGUAUUUGAUUUGGUGAACAUGAGGGGAGAGUAUUAAAUAUUUUUGAAUAUAAAUAUGCUAUGUUCACAACUGCAUUUCUGGGUUACCUUUGUAGUAGUGAAUAACCUGGAAAUAUAUAUAUAUAUAGAGAGAGAAUGAGUGCAUGAGCAUUAACAUAUAGAAAAUUAGUUUGGAAUAUACUACAAUUAUCAAGAUUAGGCAUGAUCACAACCUGAAAUAAAUCCAUAAGAGUAGAAUGGAAAAUAUAUAGUUGUCAGAUAGAAAUGAUGUGUUUGGAAAAGAAAUCAGAGAUAGCUCAGUAGUUUCCUACAUAGUUGAUGAGUUUGAUGGUAAUACCAAUAGCCAGUGAAGAUUAGAAACCUUAUUAUCCUCUAGCUUUUAGCACACAAGCCACAUACCACUUUUUUUUUUUUAACUUUAAAACUAAGCUUGAUCCUAAUGCAGUUUUUCUUCAUAUUCACCAGUAUAAUCAAAAGACCACAUACUUUGGAGUUAGCUAGGUCUGGUUCUAAAUUUAGUCUCACUUAUAUAGCUGUGAGAUUUAGAUAAGAUACUUAACUUUCAGAUUUUUUUUUUACCUCUAUUAUUAAUAAUAGGAUUAACCUAUGGUACACAUGAGAAUUAGGUGAGAUAAUAUACAUUAAUAGUAUAUUAAUAUAUAUUGAUCAACUAGAAGAGUACCUGGGAUAUAGCAAAGAUUGAGUAUGAUUCUUAGUUGUAGGUGUCAAUGUGCUGCCUAAAUCUACAAACUCAUAAGUCAGUCCUUAAAUAACUUAACCCACUGAGUGAGGCCUUUUUUUUUUUUCUUUUCUUUUCUUUUCUUUUCUUUUCUUGUCUUUUCUUUUCUUUUCUUUUCUUUUAUUUCUUUGUUUUUCUUUUUCUUUUGUUCCACCCUUGCAGCAUAUGGAAGUUCCCAGGCCAGGGAUUGAAUCUGAGCCACAGCAGAGAUCCAAGCCACAGCUGUUGCAGAGCCAGAUCCUCAACCAUCUGUGCUACAGUGAGAACUCCCUGAAAAUCCUCUUUCUACCCUAAGCAUGGAGACUGUUCCUAGCUUCAUAUAUAGGGUUUCUGGGAUAAAUUCUUAGUCUCUUUCUUUGCAAUCUCAUGGCAUCACCCAAACUUUUGUCAUAUUUGCUUUGUCUGCUGACUUGGUUUCCACCUUUAUUUCUUGAUUCACAGCUAUUACUGGAUCUAAACUCUAUUCUGAACCAGUCUACUAAGCAAUUGGCUCUCAUAUCCUGCUUAGUUCCUGCCAUUCACACCAAUAAACACUCCACUUCACACUUUGAGGCUGCUCCUCAUACAUCUUCAAACUAGAUAAAUGACAUAAAAUCUCUCCACAGCCACCUACUUGACUUUGGUCACCACAUGAUGUAAUAAACACAUUACAUCAUUGCCUACCUGUGAGAUUUCAGCCUUUCCUCCUCCUAGCCCAUUAUCAACUUUGUUAGUGACAUUGAUGCAGAUAAAGUCUGCACUUUGUUGCCACAUUAUAUUUGUCAUCUGGAUGUUGGCCAGCCAUUUCUUUACCCUAUUACUGGUUACUGCCUAAAUCUCAUUAUAUCAUGACCUAAGAAAUUUUCAGGUCAUCGUCUCCCUUAAAUUCUAUAUUAUUAAUCUCACGUUUAUGGUCAAUUCCUUUUUGACUAGAGUACCAAAGCAAUUUAAUUAGGAAAGAAGAGUUUUUCAACAAUUAGUACUGAACAGCUUGAUAUCCACAUGCAGAGAAUGAAACUGGAUAGCCCUAACUCACACCAUACAAAAAAUUAAUUUAAAAUGGGUCAGAAUUCUAAAUGUAAGAGCUAAAACUAUAAAACUCUUAGAAAAAAAAAAUUAGGCAAACUUCAUGCUGGGGCUCUGCAGUGGGUUUUUGUUUGUUUUUUGUUUUUGUUUUUGGUAAAUAAAGACACGACAACAAAAUCACAAACAACAAAAGAAAGAUAAAUUAGAUACAUCAAAAUUUAAAACAUUUAUGCUACAAAUUAGACAAUCAAAAAAGUGAAAAAAUGGUGCAUAUGAUGGAAUAAAAUGUUUGCAAAUCAUAUAUCUGAUAAGGGACUUGUGUCUAGAAGGACUUUUAAAUGUCAUUCUAAAAAGACAAGUAGCCCAAUUAAAAUGGGCAAAGAUUCUGAACAGACAUUUCUUUAAAGAAGAUGUGCAAAUAGACAAUAAGCACAUGAAAAGAUGCUUGACAUCAUUACGCACUGGGAAAGUGCAAAUCACAACCACAAUAACAUGCCACACUAUACCCACCAGUAUGAUUCAGAUAAUGGUAUGUGUUAUUGAAGAUGUAGAGAAAUUGGAACCAUCAUACAUUGACAAGGGAAAUGUAAAUUGAUACAACUAUUUUGGAAAACAGUUUGGCAGUUCCUUAAAUUGUUAUACAUAGGCUUUCUAUAUGACAUAGAAAUUCUGCUUUUAGCUGUAUAUCCAGGAGAAAUGAGAACAUAUGUCUGUCCAACAUGAAGACAUGUAUAUGAAUGUUCAUUUCAGCAUUUUUCACAUUAGCCUAAAAGUGGUAACAACACAAUUGUUCAUCAACUGAUUAAUGGAUAAAUAAAAUGUGGUAUACCUAUACAGUGGAAUAUUAUUUGACAGUAAAAGAAUGAAGCAUUGAUACAUUCUACCACAUUGAAAACGUAUGGUAAGUUAGAGAAGCCGACAGACCACAUAAUGUGUGAUUUCAUUUACAUAAAAGGUCCAAAAAUCUGUAGAGACAAAAUUAUUGGUUUCCUAGGGGUGGGACAGCAGGGAAUGGGAGUGACUGAUUAUGUGUAUUAGGUUCCUUUUGGAAUUAUAAAAGCGUUCUAAAAUUGUUGUGAUUAUUACACAACUUUGUGAAUAUGCUAAAAAACAUUGAGCCAUACAUUUGGGUGACUUUUAUUGUAUGAGUUAUAUCUUCACAAUGAUGUUUUUAAAAAAGUAAGAACCUCUGUUUUCAAGUUUAGAACAAAGGGGCAGCCUAUAAUUCCCAAAAUAUAUGGAGUAUAUUUGGAGGGAAGGGACUAAAUAAGGAGAAGGAAAUGUCCACUCCUGUCUGUCAAGUGGGAAGGGGCUUUUUAUUCAGAGAACAUAUUUUUGAGAGCCUUCGUUUGGGUAUUUUAUUGAAUGAAGUGGGAGUUGGUGGGUUUUUAUUUUAUAGUGAGGAAAAUAAGCUGUUCAUUUAAUCUCUUCAUACUUUAGACUCACACUUAUAAAAUAUUUAGUACCACCUCUAAUCUUAAUUAAAAUUUGUAAUGGAGUGGAGUUUGCAUCAUGAAAGGUGAGGGAGAGAUAUGUACUCUUAAAGUAGUUUAUAGGUAUAUAAAGUAGUCCUUAUAUUUUCCAGAGCUAUUGCCAGAAAGAAUGAGUAAACCAUUUUCUGGGAGCACAUAGCCAUAAGAAAUGAAUCAACCAUAUAAGAACAUUGAGACACUCACUAUCUUAUAAAAAAUUACUUGUACAAAUGGGAUAUUGCUUAAAUGGAAGAAUUACUUAAUCAAUUUUGGAUGAUCAGUAUACUCUUAGAAAGUACAUUAUGAACCUAAGAUCAGCAUAACCUGUGUUAAUAUAGCUGCUGUUCUUUUUUCAACCCUGUAUCACUUUUCACAUUGUAUCAAUUACUAAAUCUUGUAACUGCAGGCUAUGAUUAUACAGCCAGCUGUCCCAUGCUCUAUAGUAUCUUUAGGCUAUCUAGAACAGCAACAGUGUGAGUAAAAUUUGUAAAUCUUAGAAGCUUCAGGUAGGCAAAGACCCUCUGGGACUCACACUGUUCAUUAACAUAGUCUUUUAAAGCCCAAAUACACAUUUUACACUCUUCUCGUUAAAGUUUCAUAUUGUAGUAUGUUUUAAAUAAUUUGUCAUUAUUAUCAUUGCCAAGUGUUGGAUAUUGAGACAAUUGCCUUUCAAUGUUGACUCAUUUAUUCCUGUCCAAAGUCUACUACUACAUGCUUAAGUAAAUUAAAGGCAGUUUAAUAUAUAGCUGGUAUCCUUAAGAAUUAGUCUCAGUUGGUAAUUUAACAUAGAUGUCCCUUCUAAGGAAUUCUUUGUGUCCUAAACAAUCUUCUGACGUAUUGGCAUGUUUUUUCUUCCAGCCUUGAUGUUGCUUCAAAUUGUCCUAUAGUCUUGUGUUGUAAUAUUCCAUGAUUAUUUCUCAAAGGAAAUGUGCAUAUGACUCAUUCUCUUCUAGCACAUAGUCCCCAAACUAUUAAUCAUUAUACUUUAUAUUAAGUUUAUAAAAGCAAUUUUAUCAAAAGAAAUGAAUCCUUUUUCAGAUGCAUGCUUGAUUUCCUGUGUUAAUAAAGAUCAUUUCAUUGUCU
rnacentral:lncRNA from 1 species